rnacentral:lncRNA from 1 species
UGAGCAUUAAUUUAAAAGUUUCCUGAGUCAUUACUAAUUUUUUUUUUACAUUGAGUGAUAUUUCUAUUUCAUAAAUUAGGUUUCUGUUCCCUGUCCAUGCAUAUUUAAGGAAUUCUCUUUUUUAAGGGGGCAAAGCAUUUAAGUACCUAUUUUAUCAUAUUGUAGGUAAUAUAAAUAGGUAGAUUAGCCUUUAGUGUCAUAUGAGAAGUUAAACUAACUGUAGUUGAGAAAGGAAAGAUUGAGUGGAGAGAGUAAAUAACAACUCCCAUGGAGCAAAACAGGGAACAGUCAAGAAGUGUCUGGGUCUUCUGUAGCCUCAGAUAAAGGCAAAGAGGUUGUUAUUUGAAGAGUAUAUCACCUUCAUACUCUGCCACAUAUCUUGUGAUACUGGAGUUAUUAGUAUGAGGUGCUCUUCAGGUAUUAAUUUAGAUGUGUUUCCCUGUUGGGUCUCUUCUUAGGAAAGGAGGAAAUGAUGUGGAUAUGAUGACUUUCUCAGUCCAAGCCCCUGAUUGUUAGUUUUGACUUUUUUUUUUUUUUUUUCUGCUUCUGCAAGUACAUCUCCCUGUAUUUUCCUCAGUUUGGUGUGCUUCAAUGAUAAAAGGAUUUUUCUUUACCUUCUGACACCAAUUGGACAUUAUCUUCUUUUCUUUUUUUAGUAUGUCUCAUCCUUACUGGGAUAAGCAAAAAGUGUUAUACUAUGAUUAGUGGGAAGAAUUCUAAGAAAGAAUAGGUAGUAAGUUUGUUAAAAGAUAGAAGAAACAAAUGGUAGAGUAUAUGGUGCAUAGAAAGUUCUCAAGCUAGUUGUCACUCAGAGUGAUCAUAAAUAAGAAAUUUGUCUACUGGUGUUUAGGAACUCAUUGAAAACCGAAUCAGUUAAGUAACUGUAUUACUAUAAGAACUGAAUGUUAAAAGAUUUCAUCUGAACCAGUCACAUGGACAUAAGCCCAAAGAGAAAGUAGUUUCUUUAUGUAAUCCUAAAAUGGUAAAAACAAGAUAAAUACUUGAAAUAAUAUGUAUUUUAAUUUAAAUCUAAGUGAGAACAAGAGAACAGGGAAAACAAUGCUAAUUGGUGCAUGAACAUGUUUAUAACAAUUUACACCUUAUAAUUAUGUUAUGACUUUAUCAAGUGACUGUGAAACUAAGUAAAAAAAAAACUAUGGAGAUCAAAUUCAGCAUUUUGUUCUAAUACAUUGAAACAACCUUAUUUGUUAAUUAGGACAGUUUUUGACUAAGAACUUAAGAUUUGUUACCCACUGCUAAUCCAGCAAAUGUCCAAUAUUAUUUUUUAACUUGUGUAUUCAUAAACAUUCACGAAAUAUAGUCCUAGGUCUUGAGCAUUUUCAAUAAAAACUGUCAGUAUUUCUCUUAUGCCAAAUUCCAUAUUUUCUGAUUUGUGUUUUUCCUUUUUCUCUAGGAAACUGACCGGACAUUCUUUCCACAUGGGCUAUAGCAUGGCAAUUUUGAAUGGAAUUGUAGCUGCUCUUACUGUGGCAUGGUGCCUCAUGUGAAACCACACUGGAACGAUAUUUUGGCAAAAUUGUGAUUAUUUUGUAAUAACCGAAAAAAAAAAUCGCCUGCUCAGAAUACUAAGAAGUCAUUAUAUGGUUCAGAUACAUAUCAUAAUCGUCAUCAUCAUGAAGGACCUUUUAAAACAUCAUUCUGGAGUCUAGGCAUUGAAAAUAUCUUGAGUAUUAAGUUUCGAGUACUUUUUAAAAGUAUAAGAUUCUUACCUCAUUCUUUUACUUUUUUGUGUGUUUCUUAUAAAAUAUAGAAAACAUUUUAAUGGAAAUCAAACUUGGACACUUGAAUACAGGAUAAUGCCUACCUUUCCAUGUAUAUAUACUAUAAUUUUGCUAAGAAAUACUGAUUAAUUGAGAUAGAAAUAUUUCUUUCUUACAUAUUACAUUACGAAAACAAACUGCCUACUUUCCUGACAUUUUAUAGAAGCUACUUUUAAAUAAAAAUAUUUAGUUUUUGAUAUUCAUAUAAUAGAAGGUGCAUUUAUAUCUUUUAUGAGGCAUAGUUCCUUAUGUUUUUUUAACAUAUUUUCCUACUACAUUUUGAAUCUACUUUUUUUUUUUAAUUAUUGCAUCUAGACAACUUUAAAUUUUAUUUCUUGGCUUGUGCAAAACUAAUACCUGCCAUUUAUACUAAAUAUUUUUGUCUGAAACUAAUAAGCACAUUGAUGUAAGUUUAAAAUUAAGUAAAUUUAUUUGUAAAAAAAAAAUUACUGAAAAGAUAAAUUAUUUCAGUCAUUAAACUAUUAAGAAUUCGAGACUAUUCAUUGUUUCUGUUUUCCAACAUUUUACAUAUUUAUCUUGUUGUAAAUAUGGUUACUUCAUCAGAACUUAUUUUGUUUUUAAUAAAUGAAAACCUGAAUUUUUUGUAUGUAGAAAUACUUGAAUUAGUAUAUUUUUUAAUCUCAAAAAUUUAGUUACCAAAGNGUAAUUAAGUCUUAAUUGUUCCCUUUCUUACUAAACGUUUAGAAAAUCAUCUCAAUUUUAGAAAGGUGAAUGAUUUUUCUAAGAUGUUUUCCUUGGCCAUAGGAAACCACUGUGUAAUCAAACUGCUUAUUUAGGCUAAGUGGAAUGAAUAUGAGUACUGGAUUCCUCUGCUGAAUGUUAUUGCUAGGUAAAGAAGGGUUCUAAAAGUGUUAACUCUUUUUUUUUGUUUUGUUUUACUAUUCAGAAAUCUUUAGUUAGACAUGACUAGUGCUGCUUCAGAAUUUAAAUUAUCUGAAAUGUUUAAAGUAAUACAGGUGUUGGGUGUGUCUAAGUAGCAAUCCUAUGGCUUAAGUAUUCCUACCAGUGUGGUUGUUGCAAUGAAAAAUCUAUUUUCAGUCCCUGUCUUCCUUCUUGCCUUCUUUUUUCCCUCUUUCCCUCUAAAGGGCUCUUCCAUUGUGAACUAAUGUAUAAGCAACAAAAUUCAUUUAUCUUCUGUCUACUCCUCCAGCUCCAACCCUCACCCCUCACCCAUCACCCCCAUCCCCUGCUGCAAAUUUGGAUAGGUAGCUCCCUCUGAUUCUUUUGAGUCUAAUAACUAAGGAAGUAAUACAGUAGACCUUAAAGAUGUACAAGAUAAUCCUUAUUUAAAUUUAGAUACUUACAGAAAUAUCUAUAAAAUAUUUCUUUGAAACCCUAUUUAUUCUGAACUAGCACUCCCCUUUUUGUGGGGAAGGGAUUGCUUUUCUCUCUAAGAAAAGCAAUUUGACUAAGUAUAAUUAUCUAACCCAAGCUGGGCUAAUCUUAGUUUCUAAUCUUUCCUGACAUUGUGCUUGCAGUAGGUACAGAGAUGUGACUCAAAUCAGCCAGUGUCUUUCCAAGAAUUUUCAAUGUGAAAUUAAGGUAUCACAGAGCUGGGAAAAUACAAGCCCAAGAAAUGCUGGCAACCAUGGUUUAGCAAAGCUCAGAAAAGAAUAAGGCUGACCUGGAUACUGAUAAUGGCAUUCCUGUGGUUCCUGAAAACCUGUGGCAAUGCUACAAUUUUUGAAAUUUGAUUGCAUGAAGCAAUUGUCAUUUGAAAAAAAAAAAAUCAAAAUGAGUUUAACUGGUAUUGGAAUUCAUCUCUUAUGAAAUUGACUUAGAUGAUUUCAUCUUUUUAUGUGCAAUAUCACAUUCAGUUACUUGGAAAGAAUACAUGGAAUAUAGGUGUGCCUGUGGCUAUUGAUUGCUCUCAGUGAUUACUCAAGAGUCUUGGAGUAAACAAACUAGUUCUAGUCUUGGUAUUUCAUCAGGAAUUUAUUUAUGAUACAAAAUUCAAUUAUAUUUUGUUUAUUAUCAAAAUAUUUCUAGGUAUUACAAGAUAUGAAUCUAGUAUAAGAUAAUGAGUUUCAAAUAAGACACUGUUACAUAAUAACUAGUGUUUCCCAGUUUCCUUGUAUGUUAAAUGGGAAGAAUAAUACCUAAUAAAAUAUUUAAAUUAAAACUAUAAACUACAACGGACAUAUUACAUGUCAGGAUUUAUAGAACCUUGAUGAAACACAGUUCUAUAAAUAUGAUUUCAGAUAUUUAUUGAAACACGAUUGAAAACUAAUAAGCUAAAAAUGCAAGGUAAACAUUAGAAAAAGCAACAAGAACACCCUACCACCACCCCCACCCCCCUACCACCACCACAUUACACACACAAACAAGGAAGACUGGGAAUAAAAAAGGUAAGACAAUCAAUGAAGAACGGUGUCCAAAAGGAAAAAAAA